UACAGAGGGUGCAAGCGUUUGUCCGGAAUUAUUGGGCGUAAAGAGCUCGUAGGCGGCUUGUCGCGUCGACUGUGAAAACCCGUGGCUCAACCAUGUGGUCUGCAGUCGAUACGGGCAGGCUAGAAUUCGGUAGGGGAGACUGGAAUUCCUGGUGUAGCGGUGAAAUGCGCAGAUAUCAGGAGGAACACCGGUGGCGAAGGCGGGUCUCUGGGCAAUAACUGACGCUGAGGAGCGAAAGCGUGGGGGAGCGAACAGG
rnacentral:rRNA from 1 species